CAACCUAUAUUGUACGUUACACAAUUUAUUUAAACUUUUGGUCAUUGUCAUGUUGCAGCAGAUGUAUCUCAGACAAGAAUUAACGUUGUUGAAUCUAAUGAGGACUAUAUGAAAGAAGAGCCGAUCGAACAUCAUAAUUCUGUUGAAAAAGAUGUCGAAUCAUAUGAUGUCUAAGAAAUAACUACUAAUGAUAAAGAAUGUUUCACAGAUUGUGAUGAUGCUGAUGUAGAUGAAAAUGAAGAUGGUAAGUUUGCUCAUUCCUUAUUGAUUGCAAUAUAUGAUUAUUCAUCAUAGUAACAUAUAAUUCGUGGUUCAUAAUGGUGGCAGUGCACGACAACUAGAAAAAGGUUCUGCUGCACACAAGAACCAAGAAACUUAUUUUGAUCAGAAUUUCAGUACACGGCAAGGGAAAAUAAAUGUUGCUGCACACAAGGAACUGAAGUAUUCUUGAAGAGCCUGAAAAAUCACAACUAGGACGUAGCUCUUGGUACAAUUGUAAGUUGUGAUCCUAAAUUUAAACUUGAUGGUGCUGGAAUUAGAAAUGGAUUCUGGGCAGUGCAUGUCGAUAUGGCACUUGUGAAAACUGAAAAAUUGGUACGGAGUUGAAAAAACUGCAAUACUCUCGAUUCAAAAGAAAAUGGAUGACUAUAUGGUGUGUGGAAAGUAUAUUGCAAUGAUGAUGUUGAUGUUUCGGUUCAUGAUGAUGAUGAUGAUGGAUGCUUUCAGUUUUAGUUAAGUUGUAGGGAUGGCGUAUAUUGGAUGUUCUUCCUCCUUGAUUUUUAGUUAAGUUGUAUGGAUGCUUUCAAUGUAAGUUUUGUUGUCAAGAAAAUAGUCAGAUUAUGCAUCACAUUUGGAUGAUGUUCCUCCUGUAAUAUACACUAUUGUAAUCCAACAGUUCUAUCUAAUAUAUG